rnacentral:rRNA from 1 species
AUUGAACGCUGGCGGCAUGCCUUACACAUGCAAGUCGAACGGUAACGGGUCCUUCGGGAUGCCGACGAGUGGCGAACGGGUGAGUAAUAUAUCGGAACGUGCCCAGUAGUGGGGGAUAACUGCUCGAAAGAGCAGCUAAUACCGCAUACGACCUGAGGGUGAAAGGGGGGGAUCGCAAGACCUCUCGCUAUUGGAGCGGCCGAUAUCAGAUUAGCUAGUUGGUGGGGUAAAGGCCUACCAAGGCAACGAUCUGUAGUUGGUCUGAGAGGACGACCAGCCACACUGGGACUGAGACACGGCCCAGACUCCUACGGGAGGCAGCAGUGGGGAAUAUUGGACAAUGGGCGCAAGCCUGAUCCAGCAAUGCCGCGUGCAGGAAGAAGGCCUUCGGGUUGUAAACUGCUUUUGUCAGGGAAGAAAUCGUGUGGGCUAAUACCCCGGGAGGAUGACGGUACCUGAAGAAUAAGCACCGGCUAACUACGUG